CCUACGAGAGGCUGCAGUGGGGAAUAUUGGACAAUGGGGGCAACCCUGAUCCAGCCAUGCCGCGUGUGUGAAGAAGGCCCUCGGGUUGUAAAGCACUUUCAGUGAGGAAGAACGCCUGGUGGUUAAUACCCAUCAGGAAAGACAUCACUCACAGAAGAAGCACCGGCUAACUCCGUGCCAGCAGCCGCGGUAAUACGGAGGGUGCGAGCGUUAAUCGGAAUUACUGGGCGUAAAGCGCGCGUAGGUGGCUUGAUAAGCCGGUUGUGAAAGCCCCGGGCUCAACCUGGGAACGGCAUCCGGAACUGUCAAGCUAGAGUGCAGGAGAGGAAGGUAGAAUUCCCGGUGUAGCGGUGAAAUGCGUAGAGAUCGGGAGGAAUACCAGUGGCGAAGGCGGCCUUCUGGACUGACACUGACACUGAGGUGCGAAAGCGUGGGUAGCAAACAGGAUUAGAUACCCGAGUAGUC
rnacentral:rRNA from 1 species